CUCAGAUCAUUGCCACUGUUUUGUUUUUAGGCCCAUCUCCCUACCUUUUUUCCCUUUUCCCUUUCCUGAGGCGUGGGUGCGUGGGUCUGUGGGUCUGCCGCCCCCCAUUAGUCACGGAACUGGGCCAAACCUGCCUGUAAACUGUUGACAAACAUAUAUCCUUUUAUGGGUGUUGUUGUGUUUUGUUGUCAAUGAGACUAACGAUUCAAGUAUUAGGCAGCAUGCCUCAGUGUGAUGAGGAACAUUUGCACAGACCCCAGGAAAGACAAGCCAAGUUCCUCCUGACUAUGAAAGCAAAGCAAACACAGCAAAAGCUCAGUGUUUUGACCCACUGCAAACUGUAUCAAGCUAUGGCUGAUAAACCUGUAAGGAUCUUUACUCAUCGUUUGUUUCACCUGAUAUCCCUCCCUGCCCCCUUGGUCCCCAUUAUGCUCCAAUUUCACCCAGCUGUAUUCCCUGCAGAGCUUUAUCAGUCUCAGAAGGGGGGUGUAGCAAGUUUUUUCUGAGCUUUGUUGAGCAGAUGUGGUUAGAACCUCACCUCUAAGGCUUACCUCUUUGCUAAAGUAAUUCCCUGAUACCGCACUGCAAACAGGAUGGGCCUAAAUCUAUGUAACUGACUACUUUUAGCUGCUCUCAAAUGUUUGUUGUUUAGGAAAAAAAAAAAAAAAAAAGGAACCAAAAUAUAUUUAUCAGUUUUCUUUUAAAAAGAAGAUUUCAUCAGUUAUGUACUUCAGCUCAUUGCUGAUUGUAUGUGUGGUGCAAGGCAAUGGCGCUGUUUUUUUAUAAGAAGAAUUCCUUAUGGAUGAGAGUUCUUCCAGAACCAGUGAAUUCCUACAGGAAGAUUUCAGAAUAAAACAACCAAAUGCUGUUUCCAGCCCUGUUCUAGGCUUGGAGGGUGUUGGGAGACCCUCUCUUGUCUUACAGUGCAGGAGUGUCAGGAUCCAUGGGUGGUACGCCUUGUGUUCCAUCUGCUGCAUCUGCGCCAUUUACCAUCAGGUUGAAGAGGUUCCCCAUGUACAUGAUAGCUCUAUGCUUUGGAAUCCUAAAGUAGGCAUUUCUAUUAUUGAGACCUCUUCUUUGAUAUCGAUAGUUGAGGUGUUUUUCUCUUGCAGUAUCUGAAAAUUAAAGUUCAGGCGUUAAAGGGAUUAUUUGCAGAGGUCUUUGUAUGCCCUGGGCUUGAUUUCUCAUUUGCACGAUUCUAAAUGAGAAUAAUACUGACAAAGUGAGAAAAGAAUCAGGCCAGAAUAUGUUAAUUUACAUUUUCAGCUUCAGAGCAAAACACAAAUGUACUCUUCAGGCAAAUUUUAAUAAGCUUUUGGUCUUUGAAAAUGUAAAUAAUUUAUUGAGAUUCUACUGCAUUUGCCAUGUUUCAGAGGAGUAAAUGCUAAAAUCCACAAUAUAAAAUAACUCAGAAACAAUGGAAGUGGAUGGAACAGUGACAAAAACAUGCAUUACGACCUUAAAAUAUUAGUUAAUAACACUGAAUUGAGUUAGGGAAUGUAGAUCCAAACAUGAAAGAUAUUUCCCACUUUUGUUUUAAGGGCAGCUUCAACUGAUACUUUGUUUACCCCUAAUUUUCUGCUGUAUCAUGCUUCCAGUUCUCAGUAGUUUUGAGACAGAUAAUGGAUGGCAGAACUUGGUCUUAGUAUUUCUAACAAAAUGUCCUUAAACUAAACAACUCUUUCUAUCUGAAGAAUCUUUGUGACAUCCCAGUGUUUGAGUAUUUUCUGCAAUGCUAUUUUUUCUCUAGAUGUAAUAAUUGUAUCAUUCAAGAAUGAAAAAGAAGGGGAGGAAACAGUUUGACUAAUGUAUAAAUAAAAUCUGGCUAUUUAGCGCUCUUAAAUCUGUG
ensembl:lncRNA